rnacentral:rRNA from 1 species
GUAAGUGUUAGGGGGUUUCCGCCCCUUAGUGCUGCAGCUAACGCAUUAAGCACUCCGCCUGGGGAGUACGACCGCAAGGUUGAAAAUCAAAGGAAAUUACGGGGGCCGCACCAACGGUGGAGCAUGUUGUUUUAUUUGAAGCAACGCGAGAACCUUACCAAAUCUUGACAUCCUUUGACCGCUCUAGAGAUAGAGUCUUCCCCUUCGGGGGACAAAGUGACAGGUGGUGCAUGGUUGUCGUCAGCUCGUGUCGUGAGAUGUUGGGUUAAGUCCCGCAACGAGCGCAACCCUUAAGCUUAGUUGCCAUCAUUAAGUUGGGCACUCUAAGUUGACUGCCGGUGACAAACCGGAGGAAGGUGGGGAUGACGUCAAAUCAUCAUGCCCCUUAUGAUUUGGGCUACACACGUGCUACAAUGGACAAUACAAAGGGCAGCUAAACCGCGAGGUCAAGCAAAUCCCAUAAAGUUGUUCUCAGUUCGGAUUGUAGUCUGCAACUCGACUACAUGAAGCUGGAAUCGCUAGUAAUCGUAGAUCAGCAUGCUACGGUGAAUACGUUCCCGGGUCUUGUACACACCGCCCGUCACACCACGAGAGUUUGUAACACCCGAAGCCGGUGGAGUAACCAUUUAUGGAGCUAGCCUUUCAAGAUGGGACAUAGGAUA